GGCAUUAAGACUUGCUCUUGACCGCUCCUUCUCCGCCUUUGGGUGCGUGGUAGGGUUAGCUGUAACUGGAUUGUUUUCCUACUUGGAAUGAAUCCGGCGCCAUCGCGUGUUUUGUGAGGCCAGUUCUGAGAAUAUGAAGCAGAGAGGAAGGGCCAAAAUUGAGGCGAAUAUGAAGCAUGCGGAUGGGACUUCGGGUGCGAUCUCUGAAACUGGAGGCUAGCUCUCUGAUUCGGAGACAAUGUAGGAGAUGUUGUCAUGGUUGGCGUUAAAAAUGUGAUUUCGGAGGAGCUUGAGCGAAGAGUAUGAAGUGAGCAUGCUCCGACAUUCAAAGAACCCCUUUCCGAAAGCUACUUUGCUACGAUGAGGAGUCAAGGAAAUAAGAUUCCAGCCAAAAAGAUUCGUAUCAAGGUAACUUCAAAGCGAAAAGGCCACAGCCGGCAUAAAAUGGGCAAAAUGGAAGGACUGAGACAUUGGGAAUGGAAGUGGAGUUCUGGCUAAUGUGUUCUUAAAAUGGUUUACAGCUAAUAUAACCAGUUGAGAGCCUGAAAAAAGAGAUGAUGAUUCAGGUGGUUUGGGAGCCAGUUAAAUAUUAUGAGAGCAUGUAUAUACAAAUAAGCAAUCUCCUUUCUUAGGAGAUAAUGGGAAAAGAUGUGGAUCUUGGAUAAGAAGUCUAAAUAUUCAGGGAAGGACUAAAAUUGAAGGUUGUUUUUCUUAGAGAAAAUCACUUAUUGUAUUUAUUUGAUCAAGAAUUAGAAGAUUUAUAUGUAAUAAGUUUUCGGCGGACACAACAUCUUUGUUUGUAUGUGGUGCUGAGGAUCGAACCCGGGCCGCACGCAUGCCAGGCGAGCGUGCUACCGCUUGAGCCACAUCCCCAGCCCGAGACUGAACUCUUUUACAAAAAUGGAUAAUCAAAAGAAGGAAUCGGUCAAUAAAGAUGACAGUGUAGCAAAGAAAUGAAAAUGGAUAAUGCUAGAAGUGAAAAUGGGUGUGAUUAGAAGAUUUGAAAGUGUCAGCUGCAAAGCCUGCAGGAAGCUACAGUGUGAACUGCAUUGCAUAUAUAGUUAGUUGCCGCCAUAUCUUAAUUUAAAUUGUGCUACUAACAGAAAGCCAUUUACAGUCAAAAUUGAAGACUGAUCAAAAACAGAUCCCAGUUUGGCUAGCUAGCAUUCAGGCCCAAGCACUGUUGUUAGCUGUUGCAAUGAAAGAAAAUAAUUACAAUGAAACUGAAAAUAAAAAUUUUACUGCCAGUAAAGCUGGAUUCAUUAUUUCAGAAGUCAACAUGAAUUGGUUAAUGCUAAUCUACUUGGUUAAGUUGCAAACUCAGAUAAAGGCACUACUAUGAAAUUUGUACCCAGAUUCCCAGAUACAAGUAGUCCUACUUAAUGUAGGACUCCAUUGAGUCCACCUUGUAGGAUUUCAAUGCAGUGUUAUAGAAGAUAGAGUGGACUGGGAAGGAAUUUGAUACUGCUGCUGGUCAAGAGCCAGUUGAAGAAAAGCCAGAUGAGCUUAGUGAAGGUGAACCUCUUGGCAUGAGUGAUAGAAGUGGUUGUGACAUAAAAGAUGAACAUACCUCAGAGGAAGUGAUGCCAGCAAAAACCUUUCACAUCAAAUUCUCAGAGAUAACUUCAUGACCUUGAAAGGAAAAAGGGUAAAAUUUGUGGUUCCUAUGUCAAGGCAUAGGAAAGAUGUUCAAUGCUUAUUGUAAGUAAUAUGAAGACAAGUACUAUUUAAACUACUCUUGAUAAAUUAUUUAUAUUUUUAAAAAACUGUAAUUUUCAGCUUCUAAUGUUUUUAAUUAUAGUGAAUUAAAUGCUAGUUUUACAAAAAAGUUGCAGAGUAAUAUUUUUGCAUUUAAAAUAAAUAUCAAGAUUUUAAUUUUU